rnacentral:rRNA from 1 species
GACGAACGCUGGCGGCGUGCUUAACACAUGCAAGUCGAACGCUGAAGCUCAGCUUUUGUGGGGUGGAUGAGUGGCGAACGGGUGAGUAACACGUGAGUAACCUGCCCCCUUCUUUGGGAUAACGCCCGGAAACGGGGGCUAAUACCGGAUAUUCACUGGUCUUCGCAUGGGGGUGUGUGGAAAGGGUGGUUCUGGGGGGGGAUGGGCUCGCGGCCUAUCAGGUUGUUGGCGGGGUGGUUGCCUACCAAGGCUUUGACGGGUAGUCUGCCGGAGAGGGUGCCCGGUCACAUUGGCGCUGAGAUUCGGCCUAGACUCCUACGCGGAGCCGCAGUGGGGAAUAUUGCACGAUGGGCGCAAGCCUGAUGCAGCGCCGCCGCGUGAGGGGUGGCGGCCUUCGUGUUGUGAACCUCUUUCGCUCAUGGUCACGCCUCAACAAUGGUUGUGGUGAGGGUAGUGGGUAAAGAAGCGCCGGCUAACUACGUG